AUUGAACGCUGGCGGCAGGCCUAACACAUGCAAGUCGAACGGUAACAGGAAGCAGCUUGCUGCUUUGCUGACGAGUGGCGGACGGGUGAGUAAUGUCUGGGAAACUGCCCGAUGGAGGGGGAUAACUACUGGAAACGGUAGCUAAUACCGCAUAACGUCGCAAGACCAAAGAGGGGGACCUUAGGGCCUCUUGCCAUCGGAUGUGCCCAGAUGGGAUUAGCUAGGAGGUGGGGUAACGGCUCACCUAGGCGACGAUCCCUAGCUGGUCUGAGAGGAUGACCAGCCACACUGGAACUGAGACACGGUCAAGACUCCUACGGGAGGAGGAAGUGGGGAAUAUUGCACAAUGGCCGCAAGCCUGAUGCAGCCAUGCGGGGUGUAUGAAGAAGGCCUUCGGGUUGUAAAGUACUUUCAGCGGGGAGGAAGGGAGUAAAGUUAAUACCUUUGCUCAUUGACGUUACCCGCAGAAGAAGCACCGGCUAACUCCGUG
rnacentral:rRNA from 1 species